UGAGGAUAUAGUUCAGUUGGUUGAAUACUUGCCUCACAUGCACAAGGCCCUGGGUUCAAUCCCCAGCACCACAA
rnacentral:tRNA from 1 species